UAGGGAAUCUUCCACAAUGGACGCAAGUCUGAUGGAGCAACGCCGCGUGAGUGAAGAAGGUUUUCGGAUCGUAAAGCUCUGUUGUUGGUGAAGAAGGAUAGAGGCAGUAACUGGUCUUUAUUUGACGGUAAUCAACCAGAAAGUCACGGCUAACUACGUGCCAGCAGCCGCGGUAAUACGUAGGUGGCAAGCGUUGUCCGGAUUUAUUGGGCGUAAAGCGAGCGCAGGCGGAAUGAUAAGUCUGAUGUGAAAGCCCACGGCUCAACCGUGGAACUGCAGCGGAAAAUGUCAUUCUUGAGUGCAGAAGAGGAGAGUGGAAUUCCAUGUGUAGCGGUGGAAUGCGUAGAUAUAUGGAAGAACACCAGUGGCGAAGGCGGCUCUCUGGUCUGCAACUGACGCUGAGGCUCGAAAGCAUGGGUAGCGAACAGG
rnacentral:rRNA from 1 species